ACAACCAGGAGGUUGGCUUAGAAGCAGCCAUCCUUUAAAGAAAGCGUAACAGCUCACUGGUCUAGUGAUUCUGCGCGGAAAAUAUAACGGGGCUAAGAUGUGCACCGAAGCUUUAGAUUCGAAUUUAUUCGAGUGGUAGGAGAGCGUUCUAUUCAGCGUUGAAGAUGUACCGGUAAGGAGCGUUGGAGCGGAUAGAAGUGAGCAUGCAGGCAUGAGUAGCGAUAAUUGAGGUGAGAAUCCUCAACGCCGAAAACCCAAGGUUUCCUACGCGAUGCUCGUCAUCGUAGGGUUAGUCGGGUCCUAAGUCGAGUCCGAAAGGGGUAGACGAUGGCAAAUUGAUUAAUAUUUCAAUACCAACAUACAAGCGCGAUGUGGGGACGCAUAGAGUUAAUCGAGCUCACUGAUGGAAUAGUGGGUCGAAGGACGUAGGCUGUAACUUAGGCAAAUCCGGGUUGCAAUAGGCCGAGAUCUUACAGGCUCUUGACACUCUUCGGAGGAGAUGGAGAAUCGAUGAUACUGUCGUGCCAAGAAAAGCCACUAAGUAUAUUGUAUGUUGCCCGUACCGUAAACCGACACAGGUGGGUGGGAUGAGUAUUCUAAGGCGCGUGGAAGAACCCUGGUUAAGGAACUCUGCAAACUAGCACCGUAUCUUCGGUAUAAGGUGUGCCUACUUUGGUAUAUGGACUUGCUCCAAAAAGCUAGAGAGGUUGCAACAAAGAGUCCCUCCCGACUGUUUACCAAAAACACAGCACUUUGCUAACACGUAAGUGGAUGUAUAAGGUGUGACGCCUGCCCGGUGCUCGAAGGUUAACUGAUGAUGUCAGCGCAAGCGAAGCAUUUGAUUGAAGCCCGAGUAAACGGCGGCCGUAACUAUAACGGUCCUAAGGUAGCGAAAUUCCUUGUCGGUUAAAUACCGACCUGCAUGAAUGGCGUAACGAGAUGGGAGCUGUCUCAACCAGGGAUCCAGUGAAAUUGUAGUGGAGGUGAAAAUUCCUCCUACCCGCGGAAAGACGGAAAGACCCCGUGCACCUUUACUACAGCUUGACACUGUAGCUUGGAUAUUCAUGUGCAGGAUAGGUGGGAGGCUAUGAUGACUAGACGCAAGUAGAGUCGGAGCCAUCCUUGAGAUACCACCCUUGAAUAUUUGAGUUACUAACUGCGUACAAUUAUCUUGUAUCAGGACAAUGUCUGGUGGGUAGUUUGACUGGGGCGGUCGCCUCCUAAAAAGUAACGGAGGCUUACAAAGGUUAGUUCAUGGCGGAUGGAAAUCGCCAGUUGAGUAUAAUGGCAUAAACUAGCUUGACUGUGAGACAUACAAGUCGAACAGAGACGAAAGUCGGUCAUAGUGAUCCGGUGGUUCUGUGUGGAAGGGCCAUCGCUCAAAGGAUAAAAGGUACGCCGGGGAUAACAGGCUGAUCUCCCCCAAGAGCUCACAUCGACGGGGAGGUUUGGCACCUCGAUGUCGGCUCAUCGCAUCCUGGGGCUGAAGUAGGUCCCAAGGGUAUGGCUGUUCGCCAUUUAAAGCGGUACGCGAGCUGGGUUCAGAACGUCGUGAGACAGUUCGGUCCCUAUCUUCCGUGGGCGUAGGAAAGUUGAAGAGAUUUGUCCCUAGUACGAGAGGACCGGGAUGAACGUACCACUGGUGUACCAAUUGUUCUGCCAAGAGCAUCGUUGGGUAGCUACGUACGGAUGUGAUAAGAGCUGAAAGCAUCUAAGCUCGAAGCCAACUCUAAGAUUAACUUUCCCUGAAGUUCCCAG
rnacentral:rRNA from 1 species